rnacentral:rRNA from 1 species
AAAGGAAUAGACGGGGGCCCGCACAAGCAGCGGAGCAUGUGGUUUAAUUCGAAGCAACGCGAAGAACCUUACCAGGACUUGACAUCCACGGAAUCCUUAAGAGAUUAGGGAGUGCCCUUCGGGGAACCGUGAGACAGGUGGUGCAUGGUUGUCGUCAGCUCGUGUCGUGAGAUGUUGGGUUAAGUCCCGCAACGAGCGCAACCCCUGUUGCUAGUUGCCAUCAUUAAGUUGGGCACUCUAGCGAGACUGCCGAGGUUAACUCGGAGGAAGGUGGGGAUGACGUCAAAUCAUCAUGCCCUUUAUGUCCUGGGCUACACACGUGCUACAAUGGCUGGUACAGAGAGAAGCAAUACCGCGAGGUGGAGCAAAUCUUCAAAACCAGUCCCAGUUCGGAUUGCAGGCUGAAACCCGCCUGCAUGAAGCUGGAGUUGCUAGUAAUCGUGGAUCAGAAUGCCACGGUGAAUGCGUUCCCGGGCCUUGUACACACCGCCCGU